UAUACAAAGAGUCUUAUAUUGUCUGCUCUGACAAAAAUAAAGUAUUUUUUAGGUUUAGGGGAAUUGACGGCGUGUGUCUUAUAAAUACAACUUGAUAAUACGUUUGUUUUGUAAAGAGACUUCUUUAAAGUCACGCAAGAAUAAAAUAUUUUAGUUGUAACUGGUUAAACUUAAAGCCGAUAUUUUCUAUCGAACUAGUCUAUUUUCUGUUCAGACACAAAGUUUUCUGAUGCUGAUAUUAUGUCAGUGUGUGUUUGUGUGGGGGUCGUGUGAUGUAAUCUUUGAAAGUUUAUGACCGAACCUUUAUUGGGGAGCGACAAGAGAUCUCCCGGAAUCAGUUUGGAUGGAGCAGAGCUGUUAUACUCAAGUCUAUUGGUAUGUAUGUGUUUCGCUGUGUUCGUUCCAGUAUUUUGUAUGAUUUAUUUAAAAACUAAAAAUUCGAUCUCUGGUAUUGCAGCGAAAUUGUCUAAACUGGUAUUAACUAUUCCUGGUAAAUCGCGGAGAAGAGUGGCCUGAACAAAAAAGUCAGACCGAGACUAGAACCUCCCGCAGCGUAACACGGAAAUCUUGGAACAAAAGAGACGCCGACUGGCUCGUGUUGUCCGGUUUGGAUAUCAGAGGCAAAGCGAACGUUGUGUGUACUAUUGCAAAAUAUAUAGCGGAUCUCCACGGUUAGGAUACAGACCACAACGCUUUGGACGUAUCUUUAAAAAAGAUUAAAAUCAGAGACUUUUUGGAUUUGUCUGGGGACAUUUUAAACAUUUUGUGGCAAAUUGGAUUUAAAACAUUUCGGAUACUGGAUACCUAGUUUGAUUUGUCCACAGAGCUUGUUUAAGACGUUUUCACCGCAUUUUAGGGUUUAUUUUUAAUUAAAGGCUUCUUAAAACAUGUGUGAAAAUGUGUAUA